AGGACGAACGCUGGCGGCGUGCCUAAUACAUGCAAGUAGAACGCUGAAGAGAGGAGCUUGCUCUUCUUGGAUGAGUUGCGAACGGGUGAGUAACGCGUAGGUAACCUGCCUUGUAGCGGGGGAUAACUAUUGGAAACGAUAGCUAAUACCGCAUAACAAUGGAUGACACAUGUCUAUUUAUUUGAAAGGGGCAAUUGCUCCACUACAAGAUGGACCUGCGUUAGUA
rnacentral:rRNA from 1 species